CAGUCGCCACGGUAAUACGGAGGGUGCAAGCGUUAAUCGGAAUUACUGGGCGUAAAGCGCACGCAGGCGGUCUGACAAGUCAGAUGUGAAAUCCCCGGGCUUAACCUGGGAACUGCAUUUGAAACUGUCAGGCUGGAGUCUUGUAGAGGGGGGUGGAAUUCCAGGUGUAGCGGUGAAAUGCGUAGAGAUCUGGAGGAAUACCGGUGGCGAAGGCGGCCCCCUGGACAAAGACUGACGCUCAGGUGCGAAAGCGUGGGGAGCAAACAGGAUUAGAUACCCGUGUAGUCCCUGUCUCUUAUAC
rnacentral:rRNA from 1 species